GAUGAACGCUGGCGGCGUGCCUAAUACAUGCAAGUCGAGCGAACAGAUGAGGAGCUUGCUCCUCUGACGUUAGCGGCGGACGGGUGAGUAACACGUGGAUAACCUACCUAUAAGACUGGGAUAACUUCGGGAAACCGGAGCUAAUACCGGAUAAUAUAUUGAACCGCAUGGUUCAAUAGUGAAAGACGGUUUUGCUGUCACUUAUAGAUGGAUCCGCGCCGCAUUAGCUAGUUGGUAAGGUAACGGCUUACCAAGGCAACGAUGCGUAGCCGCCCUGAGAGGGUGAUCGGCCCCACUGGAACUGAGACACGGUCCAGACUCCUACGGGAGGCAGCAGUAGGGAAUCUUCCGCCAUGGGCGAAAGCCUGACGGAGCAACGCCGCGUGCGUGAUGAAGGUCUUCGGAUCGUAAAACUCUGUUAUUAGGGAAGACCAAAUGUGUACGUAACUAUGCACGUCUUGACGGUACCUAAUCAGAAAGCCACGGCUACCUACGUG
rnacentral:rRNA from 1 species